UUUUUAAUCUGAAUAGUCCUAUAAAAUAAAAAUCCUAAGUUAAGAAUCAAAUGAAUAAAAUAAAUAAAAAGGAAAAAUACUUACCACUGGGUUGCCUCCCACUAAGCGCUUGUUUAUAGUCAAUAGCUUGACU
rnacentral:sRNA from 1 species